AGGGAUUCUAACCCCAGGAAGCACUAACUUUCACUUCCCAUGAUGUAUGUUUGUAUAUAUUUUUUAAAUUCUUAUGAAUCCUGUAUAAUAGAUAUAAGGAGAUGUGAUAUGAGUGCCAAUGAGACAACUCUCCAUCCAAAUGCCCUUUUAACUGGGUUGCCACAUAAUUUCUCAAUUUAAUGCUACAUGUACCUGCUCAAAUUGGCUUUCUUUUUUCAAGUUAUAAGUACAUUCAUUGUCUAAAGAAGAAAUUGUUGUACCAAAUAACAUUUUACUAAUUAGGGUAAAAAUAUUGUAUAAGACAGCUGAUGCAAGAACUAUCCUGACUAUUUGUCAGUUUGAAUUUAUUUUUUAGCAUAGCCUGAUUUUAAUCAAUAUACCUUGUAGACUUU
rnacentral:lncRNA from 1 species